UAAGCAAAUUGAAGUGGGUCUAGGUUGACAGGUAAGGUGGAGGUGAUAUGAUCCUUAACUAGCCUAUCAAAGCACUUCAUGAUGACAGAAGUGAGUGCUACGGGGCGAUAGUCAUUUAGUUCAAUUACCUUUGCCUUAUUGGGUACAGAAACAAUGGUGGACAUCUUGAAGCAUGUAGGGACAGCAGACUGGGAUAGGAAGGUGUUGAAUAUGUCCGUAAACACAAACACCAGCUCAAGUUCCUUGAGGGACUUGUGGAAUCAGUUUGAGGGGGGAUAUACACAGCUGUGUCAAUGACCGAGGAGAAUUCUCUUGGGAGGUAAUACGGUUGUCAUUUGAUUGUGAGGAAUUCUACAUCAGGUGAACAAAUGGACUGGAGUUCCUGUAUGUUGUUACAAUUACACCAUGAGUCGUUAAUCAUGCCCUCCUUCCCAGAGAGAUGUUUAUUCCUGUCGACACGACGUACAAAGAAUCCAGGUUGCGAAUCAGUUCAAAUGCAGUUUGGACAAAGGAUCCUUCGGGAAAGUCGUAUUCCUGGUCGUAGUGCUGGGCAGCUAUCCUGGCUGUCUCUUCAUCUCGUAGAAACUGGUGAAGCUUCUCAAACCUUUCCCCAGCACAAGGUGCACCUCUGUAAUGAUGUUGACAAAGGAGAAAUGCUCACCAACGGGGAUGCAAAAAAAAUCUGCACAAAAUUGGAGAGGAAUAAGCAGUGGUGGGAAAAGUUCCCAAUUGUUUGAGUAAAAGUAAAGAUACCUUAAUAGAAAAUGACUCAAGUAAAAGUGAAAGUCACCCAGUAAAAUACUACUUGAGUAAAAGUCUAGAAGUAUUUUGGUUUUGAAUAUACUUAAGUAUCAAAAGUACAUGUAAUUGCUAAAAUAUACUUAAGUAUCAAAAGUAAAAGUAUAAAUCAUUUCACAUUCUUCAUAGUAAGUUUUUGUAUUUAAAUGUACAGCUAGCCAGGGGAACACACCGACACUCAGACAUUUUACAAAUUAAGCCAGUGUGUUUAGUGAGUCGGCCAGAUUAGAGGCAGCAGGGAUGACCAGGGAUGUUCUCUGGAUAAGUGUGUGAAUUGCACCAUUUCUCUGUCCUGCCAAGCAUUCAAAAUGUAACAAGUACUUUUUGGGUGUCAGCGAAAAUGGAUGGAGUAAAAACUACAUUUAUUGUUUUAGGAAUGCAGUAAAGUAAAAGUUGUCAAACAUAUAAUUAGUAAAGUACAGAUACCCCCCAAAAACAUUUAAGUAGUACUUUUUAAAGUGUUUUUAAUUAAGUACUUUACACCACUGUAACCUAAGCUUUUUUGUGUGUAUGGAAAAAGAAAUGUUGGAUCGUUCAUUUCAGCUCAUGAAAACAUGUGAGCAAAACAUUUACAUGUUGCGUUUAUAUUUCUAGUUCAGUAUAGAUUCACCUUCCUGGUUUUAUGGUUACAACGUCCGUGGCGCACAAUGCAAUGCAACUUCUGGACAUGUUUGAAUGUGAUCUGAUCUGUGGUUCUGAUGAUGUUUUAUAAAACAGGCCUAUCGGGGAGCAGUAUGACUGUGGACAUUCUCCCAUUCUAUUUACGUUGGAUCUUUGUCCUGCUACUGUGGAAAGUACGGACGUCCAUAGUCUACGUUGUUUUAAUAUUAUAUGGCCAAGGGGAGAAAUGAUGGUGCCUGUAAGUGUGACACAGCCUAUUUUUGAAACAAGUAGUUUUCUUUAGAAUUUGAUUAGAAUUAGAAUCUUGCUUAUUGACAGUGUUUGGCGUGUCCAUGUGCAGCCAUAAUGUAAUGUACAGUAGGCAUUGCCACUAUAUCUGUCACACCCGGAUCUGUUUCACCUCUCUUUGGGAUUGUCUCCAUCCCUCCUCCAGGUGUCGUCCAUUUCCCCCAUUUAUCCCCUGUGUAUUUAUACCUGUGUUCUCUGUUUGUCUGUUGCCAGUUCAUUUUUGUUUUGUCAAGACUACCAGCGGCUUUCCCCUCUGCUCUUGUCUCUCGAUUGUUCCUGUUUCCUAGUUUUCCCGGGGGUUGACCAUUCUGCCUGCCCUGACCAAGAGACUGCCUGCCGUACUGUACCUUUACUAUGUGGAUUACUGACCUCUGCCUGCCCUUGACCUGUCUUUUGCCUGUCCCUGUUCGAUUAAUAAACUGUUGUUACUUUGA